AUUGAACGCUGGCGGCAUGCCUUACACAUGCAAGUCGAACGGCAGCACCGGUGCUUGCACCUGGUGGCGAGUGGCGAACGGGUGAGUAAUACAUCGGAACAUGUCCUGUAGUGGGGGAUAGCCCGGCGAAAGCCGGAUUAAUACCGCAUACGAUCUACGGAUGAAAGCGGGGGACCUUCGGGCCUCGCGCUAUAGGGUUGGCCGAUGGCUGAUUAGCUAGUUGGUGGGGUAAAGGCCUACCAAGGCGACGAUCAGUAGCUGGUCUGAGAGGACGACCAGCCACACUGGGACUGAGACACGGCCCAGACUCCUACGGGAGGCAGCAGUGGGGAAUUUUGGACAAUGGGCGAAAGCCUGAUCCAGCAAUGCCGCGUGUGUGAAGAAGGCCUUCGGGUUGUAAAGCACUUUUGUCCGGAAAGAAAUCCUUGGCCCUAAUACGGUCGGGGGAUGACGGUACCGGAAGAAUAAGCACCGGCUAACUACGUG
rnacentral:rRNA from 1 species